UCUGGUCCCAAGUAGGGAGUGUGACCGCUGUUUCCUCUUGGUACAGUGUGCUCAGGAGAGGUCUGCCCCUGUCCAAGGAAGCCCCGAAAAGCAAAUCCUCGGGAAGAGCGUAAGAUGUAACCCAAGGGGACAUUUUUUCCAAUUUCACUGUCUGCUGGCAGUCCUCUCCAGGAACGCGCUGCACAAGUGUGCAUUGUAUAUUCAAGGGCAAUUAAGUUGCUAAUAGUCAGCUAUUUCCAAAGUCGUCGGCUGCAGAUGAUGAUAUAUUACAGAACAUCUGAUGCCAGAAAUGCGCAGUAUAGGAGAAAGGAGUCCAUGUUCAGAGAAGCUGGUAUUUAAAUGGGAGGCCGAGAUGUGGGACAAAAAUCCUUCCUCCUACAAGGCCUUUCCAGAAUCUUCCACGUACGGAGCAGCCACCCCGCCUCCCGCCCGGAGCCCAAGCCACACUGCAUUGCUGAGCCCUGCCUUCCCCAGGGCCAGCCCGAUGAUGGGCCGGGCUGCAGGGGGCCAGCUGCGUGGCCUGCAGCAGGAUGGUGAGCUGGGGAGCCGCUUUCCUUUGUCCUCCAAUAUGCAAAUAAGCAAAUCAAAUUAA